GAUGAACGCUGGCGGCAUGCCUAACACAUGCCAGUCGAGCGAACAGAUCGUGAGUUCUCUCUCCUGACGUUAGCGACGGACGGGCGAGUAACACAUGGAUAGCCUACCUAUCAGACUGGGAUAACUACGGGAAAUCAGAGCUACUACCGGCUAAUAUAUUCUACUGCUUGGUUCAAUAGUGAAAGACGCUUUUGCUGAUUCUUAUAGCUGGACCCGGGCCGCAUUAGUUAGUUGGUAAGGUAACGGCUUACCAACGCUACGAAGCGUAGCCGACCUGAGAGCAUGCUGCUCCACAUUGUAUCUGAGACACGGAAGAGACUCCUAAGGGAAGAAACAGUAGGGAUUAUUCCACAAUGGGCGAAAGCCGGACAGAGCAAUAUGGCGUUGGUGAUGAACCUCUACGGGUCGUAAAGUCCUGUUAUUGGGAAAGAAGAAAUGUUGUUGUAGCAACGGACGUAAUGACGGUACCCAAUCAAUAAGCUCCGGCUAACUACGUG
rnacentral:rRNA from 1 species